rnacentral:rRNA from 1 species
UACGGAGGAUGCAAGCGUUAUCCGGAUUUAUUGGGUUAAAGGGUGCGUAGGCGGAUAAAUAAGUCAGUGGUGAAAGCCUGCAGCUUAACUGUAGAAUUGCCAUUGAUACUGUUUGUCUUGAGUACAGUUGAGGUGGGCGGAAUAUGGCAUGUAGCGGUGAAAUGCUUAGAUAUGCCAUAGAACACCGAUUGCGAAGGCAGCUCGACUAAACUGUCACUGACGCUGAGGCGCGAAAGCGUGGGGAGCGAACAGG